rnacentral:rRNA from 1 species
GACGAACGCUGGCGGCGUGCUUAACACAUGCAAGUCGAACGGAAAGGCCCUGCUUUUGUGGGUGCUUGAGUGGCGAACGGGUGAGUUACCCCUUAGUUACCUGCCCUUGACUUUGGGAUUACUUCCGGAAACUGGGGCUAAUUCCGGAUAGGGGCUCCUGCCGCCUGGUUGGGGUUGGAAAGUUUCGGCGGUUGGGGAUGGACUCGCGGCUUAUUAGCUUGUUGGUGGGGUAGUGGCUUACCAAGGCCUUGACGGGUAGCCGGCCUGAGAGGGUGACCGGCCACAUUGGGACUGAGAUACGGCCCAGACUCCUACGGGAGGCAGCAGUGGGGAAUAUUGCACAAUGGGCGGAAGCCUGAUGCAGCAACGCCGCGUGCGGGAUGACGGCCUUCGGGUUGUAAACCGCUUUCGCCUGUGACGAAGCGUGAGUGACGGUAAUGGGUAAAGAAGCACCGGCUAACUACGUG